GAGGGUAUAGCUCAAUAGCACAGCGCAUGCUUAGCGUGCAAGAGGUCCUGGGUUCAAUCCCCAGUACCUCCA
rfam:Camelus ferus unplaced genomic scaffold scaffold118, whole genome shotgun sequence.